ACCUGGUUGAUCCUGCCAGUAGUCAUAUGCUUGUCUCAAAGAUUAAGCCAUGCAUGUUUAAGUUCACGUCACGAUUAAGAACGGGCGAAACCGCGAAUGGCUCAGGAACCGGACCUAAUCCUCGAGACCGUAUUCCUCCACGGAGGAAAGUGGAUAACUGUGGUAAUUCUAGAGCUAAUACAUGCAACUAAAGUCUCGAUCUUCGUUCGGUAGCUGUAUUGAGUGGUUGAUUUUGCUUGCGCGUGCCAUCGUUCGUUUUUUCGAGUAGUACGAACUUCUUUUGUUAGUAGUUUUGUAUUAUCCGUUAACGAUACGGCGCGCACGUAUCGUUAUCUAUCUGCUCWUUACUCUCCUCCGUACGACGCCUUUGAUCGCGGCGCAACAUAUUAGACUGAGACCGAUGCGUUUUGUUGGUCGUCGAUCGAAGUGAUUAACGCACGCACGAACGCAUGCACGCACGCAAUUAGGCAGUCGGCGUCCAUACUCACGCGAACAUAGCCGAAAAAUGAGGCGCGCACACACCUUCGCCACGUUGUCGAUUACGUACGAAAUACUACUUAUAAUAAUAACAAUUCAGAAAAACCACUUUGUAAACGUGUAGAGAGGAUAAAACACGGUGUUGUUUCUUUCUCGUUGCUGCCCGUCCCUGCUUGGUAGGUAGCUGUUUUGUUUGUUUGUUUUGUUGUGUUUUGUCGAUAAUGUGGUCGUUAAUGUUGACGUUUGUCGUUGCGUUGUCUUCUAGUCGUCUUUUUGUAUUCGCUUUUUGUGUUUUGGUGGUUGUUGCCUUCUUUUGCGUGAGCUACGUUGCUGUUGUUGUUGUUGUUGUUCGCUUUUCGACGUAUCCGACGCGCUUGCUUUUGGUGACUCUGGAUAACAUAAUUGUCGAUCGCUAUUGGUCAUUUUUUUGUUUGAACCUAGCGACGGGUCCCUCGAGGGUCCGCCCUAUCAACUGUCGACGGUCAGAUAAUUGCCUACCGUGGUUACAACGGGUAACGGGGAAUCGGGGUUCGAUUCCGGAGAGGGAGCAUGCGAAACGGCUACCACAUCCAAGGAAGGCAGCAGGCGCGCAAAUUACCCACUCCCGGCACGGGGAGGUAGUGACGAAAAAUAACGACGCGGGACUCUGUCGAGGCCCCGCGAUCGGAAUGGGUACACUUUAAAUCGGUUAACGAGUAUCAACCGGAGGGCAAGUCUGGUGCCAGCAGCCGCGGUAAUUCCAGCUCCGGUAGCGUAUAUUAAACUUGUUGCGGUUAAAAAGCUCGUAGUCGGAACUCGGGUCUAAAAAAAAAACGUAGUAAAAUACGUUUCGGGGCGUCGGCGCCGUCGUUCGAGUCCGAAUUUCGGUUGUUUUAUCCGUUCGCACACCCGGCCCUAUCCGCCGGUACGAACGAGGGAAAAAGUCAUUCGUUCAUAUUUGUCUGAUUAGUAUUUAUGGUUUUGAUAAUAUUUUAGUUUGUUUUUAUUUUUUCCGGAUUUUGUUUGUGUUCUUUGGUUCCAUGUUGAUGACGAUAUCAAUCUCACUGACACAAUUAAUGAAUCAAUCAAUUCCAUAUAUAUAAUUAUAUCUAGAUAAUCGAGGUCUACAUUGAACUUUUCAGAUGAGAAAAAAAAACGUUUGGUAAACGAAUUCGCGUCGUGCACCCUCUUUCGAUUCCUCUGAGGGUGCUCUUUAUCGAGUGUCCGAAGCGGCCGGUAUGUUCACUUUGAAAAAAUUAGAGUGCUCAGAGCGAGCUAUGCUAGGCUUGCAUACGAUAAGCAUGGAAUGAUAGAAAAGGGCCUCGUCUACGUCUAUCGGUCUCCGUUUACGACGAGGCAAUGAUCGAAGGGAGCGGUCGGGGCCACUCGUAUUGCGACGUUAGAGGUGAAAUUCUUGGAUCGUCGCAAGACGCACUGCAGCGAUGGCGUGUGGCAAGCAUGUCUUCCUCGAUCAAGAGCGAAAGUCGGAGGUUCGAAGACGAUCAGAUACCGUCGUAGUUCCGACCGUAAACGAUGCCGACUGGCGAUCCGCCGGCGUUCGCUUCGAUGACCCGGCGGGUACCCUGCGGGAAACCAGAGUUGGUUCCGGGGGGAGUAUGGUUGCAAAAUCGAAACUUAAAGGAAUUGACGGAAGGGCACCACCAGGAGUGGAGCCUGCGGCUUAAUUUGACUCAACACGGGAAAACUCACCCGGUCCGGACACCGGUAGGAUUGACAGAUCGAUAGCUCUUUCUCGAUUCGAUGGAUGGUGGUGCAUGGCCGUUCUUAGUUGGUGGAGCGAUCCGUCUGGUUGAUUCCGAUAACGAACGAGACUCCGGCCUGCUAACUAGCGCGCUGAUUAGUGCUAGAUAUAUACAAUAUUAUUCUAUAUAUAUAUAUAUUUCGCGACGAUGACAACGCGACGGCGGCGGCGCGCAACGACAGCAACCACAAAAGCAGCAACAGCAACAUCGAUGGCAUAUCGACUAUAACGAUAGCAUCAUCGUUUGUCGUUUGGUCGUUUUGUUUUUGUUUGUUUUUGUUUGAUUUGUUUGCUUGGUUUGUUGGUUGGUUGUUCGUUUGUCGUUGUUCGUUUGUUAUUUUGUUGCGUGAUUUUAUGUGUGUAUGUAUGUUUAAAGGCGUAUAUACGCGGCCAGUCGGUUGCUUCCUGCACUUCUUAGAGGGACGGGUGGCAGAAAGCCACACGAGGCGGAGCGAUAACAGGUCUGUGAUGCCCUUAGAUGUCCGGGGCUGCACGCGCGCUACACUGGAGUUAUCAGCGGGCAAUUUCGCCCAGCCCGAAAGGGUUGGGUAACCUCUCAACCAACUUCCGUGAUAGGGAUCGGGGCCUGUAAUUGACCCCGUGAACGAGGAAUUCCCGGUAGGCGCGGGUCAACAGCCCGCGUCGAUCACGUCCCUGCCCUUUGUACACACCGCCCGUCGCUACUACCGAUCGAACGGUCCGGUGAGGUCCUCGGAUCUGGCCGACGAUGCCGACAUUGUCUAUAUUCGAAGCUUUAAUGUCUUUUUCGUACCCUACUAACUAACUGCUCGUUUAYGUUACCGAUCACGUUCACCGUUCACGUUCAUCUUUUCGUUCGUUUCAACAUAUACGGCGCUACUACUACUACUACGAUGACGACGGUAAAUCGAAAUAUUUGGGUUUUUUCGUUUUGGUCGAAUAUACACGCGCGGCGACGGUUUCACGCUUUUGCGAUGACGACGACGACGGCAUAUUAACCACUAACUGCAACAUUGUGUUGUAGUUCGGUUUGUUGUUGUUGUUAUUGUUGUUUCGGUUGUUGUCGUCGUCGUAUUUGGUUUUCGYCAUGAAUUAUUUCUUUUUUUUUGGGUCGUCAUCAUCAUCGUUGCGUUGCGUUGCGUUGCCUUGUCGUAUCGUAUGUUAUGGAAUCGAAUUCGAAUUGUAUCGUAUCGUAUYGUAUCGUGUGGCUGUUUAGUUUACGUAAWGRCUUUCAGCCMCUUCCGUAUAAAGACGUCGUCGUCUGAUGGCCCGGAGAAGACGACCGAACCCGAUCGUUUAGAGGAAGUAAAAGUCGUAACAAGGUUUCCGUAGGUGAACCUGCGGAAGGAUCAUUA
rnacentral:rRNA from 1 species